rnacentral:rRNA from 1 species
GACUAAACGCUGGCGGACGCACGAGUAAGACAUGCAAGUCGAACGGACUUAACCGAAAUGUUUACAGUUUUGGAGGCGGUUAAGGUGGCGGACUGGUGAGUAACACGUAAGCAACCUGCCUAUCAGAGGGGAAUAACAGUGAGAAAUCAUUGCUAAUACCGCAUAUGCUGUGAGUAUCGCAUGAUACAAACAGGAAAGGAGCAAUCCGCUGAUAGAUGGGCUUGCGUCUGAUUAGAUAGUUGGUGGGGUAACGGCCUACCAAGUCGACGAUCAGUAGCCGGACUGAGAGGGCGAACGGCCACAUUGGGACUGAGACACGGCCCAA